GGAAAAUGCCAUUUCCCAUGGCUUCAAGUCCCUCCUCAGAAUCUUACUGUGCCCCUGUUUCAAAACCAACGGCAAAGAAAGCCAAACUCCAAAGCAGGGCUCUCUUUUGGUGAGCUCCCACCAGCUCUUUAAUCACGUUUAAUUUAAUUAAAUUUGGGACUCUGAUUCCUCAUCUCUCCCUCUUUGUCUGGACCCAAGAGUUGAGACCAGUGUUGAAGGCAGCAUGUUGUGAAAAUCUCUGUGCAUUAUUGAACACUCAGCUGGAACCAUUUCCCUCUGCACGUGUUCAUGUUAUAGCUUGAGUCCAUGAGGAAGUUGAUGUGGCAUUUCACUAGCAGUAAAGGUCCCACGCAUUCCUUCCCUCUCUGGCCAAAGAAAACUUGAAGCAGUGGGACCUCAGUGCAAAGGAACAUGAUGUGAUGCAAGAACUGACUCAGGAAACGCUGGUGGACUUCAUGCCCCCCGUACCUGGCCAAUGACCUGGAAGAGGAAAACCAGCUUAUCCAACUAGACGUCUUCUUCUUCUUCUAUGGGAGGAAGUUUGCCAAGGUUCCUUAGUUCUGCAAGCAAUUCAGCAUGCACGGAGACACUAGGAGGUUCCUGGCAGAGUGUGAGCAGGUGGGCAGCCCACUGCAGUGGGGGUGUGAGAUAUCUCCCAACUUGUGGGAAAUAAGGGCCCAGAGGUCUGGUUGACAGCCGUGGCCGAGGAAUGAGUCUAAGCAGACUUGGACUUGUUAUGUCCUCGGUAGACCGAGUGAGUCUCCCCGCCCUGGUUGCCCCUCUCUGCCCCUUCCUUGGUGCCUCCCCUUGGUGAUCACACCCCCUUUGCCACGCCCCUAGCCUGCUCUAUAAAAUGCCUGGUACUUCCGCAAUAAAACAGAUCUGCGCCAUCAGCCUGGUCUCCCGUGUCUUCUCUUCACCACGCUGCCGCUUGCCUCGGGCCCAGAACCAACUGUAUAAUCCUGAACUCUGGAUGUCUCAGUGAGAUCCCACCCUUGCAUUCCAGGGACCCUGGGAUCCUGAGCACCUGAGGGCAGGGCAGAUGAGCAUUUUAAGCCUGAUGACCCAGCUGCCAGUAAUGGCAGCCAUGGGGGGAAGUAGAGGAAUUUCCUGUCCAGACCAUGGAGAAGAAUGCAUACUCUUCCAGAAGGAGCCAAUGGACUCGUCAGCCAGACUGUUGGGGCUGGGAACCCACAGAGGGACAAUAGAGAAGCUGUUUCCCUGGUGCCAUCAUCCUGAGCCACGUUUCAAUUGUACAUGCUCACUAUGAAUAUCAGCUGGAGGAUUCAUCAUGUGUUUCUGAAAAAUUAUGUAGCUUCUGCAGAGUGAGAUAAUUUCAAGGUGACUUGCAUGGGCUCAGAAUGGGAGGGAACUGAAAAUAACUGAAAAUAUUACCUUAGAGCCGUAAGGUUGUCAAGAUUGCUUUAGGGUACGUUGUAAAUUUCACGGGCUGGUUUUCAGCCUACAGAGCAUAGUAUUGUUACUAUACUUCUUUGAAACAUCAUGAGUCACCACUUCUUGGCCUUUUCACUAAGAUCAAGUGUAGUAUCUGUUCUUCUCAGUUUAAUAUAUGAUAUGCCUUCUAUCCAAGGACAAAAUAUUAAGUGGAUUUUUGAGAUAUGUUAAUUAGUUUCAUUUAUACUAGUAGUUUAUCUUAGUUUAUGCAAAAGAAAGAUUGUGUUAUUAUCUGUUUCUUUUUUGUAAGAAUAUUUUUGGGUUAUGUCUCUUACUCUGAGCAUUUAGAAGAUAGUGAGUGACAGUGGAAUAACUCUUGUUAUACGAUUAUUCAGUUAUGAAAUUUUGUGGUUUUCUUCUAAAAAAUAAAAAAGAAUAUGCUAUUCUCACAAAGUUUUCUAUUUAAUAUUUCAACUAUUUUGUGUGAACAAAUACAUUCCUAUUUAAGGGAGAUUUUUUAUCUUUCUAUCUAUUGUACUGAUAUAUGCUUUAUCCUUUAGCUAUGGGUUAGUACCCCCAAUUCUUGUAAAUAAAUAUUCUUAUUGUA